rnacentral:lncRNA from 1 species
GCAUUCUGUUGUUUCCAUAUGUAUACCAUUUGUUUGCAAGUCUGACAGUUACACUUCCCAAAGUUACUAAACAUCUUGGUAGUAGUCAAAUAUUUCUAUCAAACUCAUGUAUCUAAUUGUUGGAGGCUUUCCCUGGCAGGUUGCCAAGGGAUUGCAAAAUGUGAAUGUCUAAUGUGCUCAUGGUUCAUGGCUGAUCAUGUUACCAACAUUCCAUGGAAUGGAGGAUGAAGCAUUUUCUAAAAGAAAUACUGCUAACCUGGCAAAAAUAGCCUCUACUCAGUACAGUACUUUCAGGAUAAACACCAAGCCCUACAGUGUUAUUUACAAGGGUUUUCAUUAUCUAGUCUCUACCUACAUCUCCACCUUCAUCUCAUUCUUUUUUUUUUCUCAUAUUCUGAACUUCAGCCACAUUGGACUGCUUCCAGGCUCUAAAUCAAAUGCAAUAUCUCUUUCUUCUCUGCUUUUGCUUGGAAACACUCACCCUCCCAAUACUUUCUGAGGUUUGUUUCAAGUUUUAUUUCCUCAGGUACAACUCCUGUGAACAGCCUUCCUGCUUCUUAGUCUGUUGCAAAUGACCCCCCUUUGUGCUUCUAAAUGAUUCCAUGCCCUUUCACUCUUCAAAUGGAUGUUUAUUUUUCUAUGCUAGAUGCUAAGAUUUACCAUUCCUGCACAAUUUAUAUCCACCACAAAACUUAAUAAAUUAACUGAUCAUGAAUUGAGUAAAUAACCGGUGGUUAAUAAUAUUUAAUAUCAUAGAUUCUUAAUAUGUUAGUAAAUUAAUUAAUAUAAUAAGUUAUUUCAGACAAGGAUAGAAUGAGGCUUUAUUAGCACCACCUUCUUCUCACCAUUCCCUGCACACACACACACACACAUACACACACACACUCCUGCUGGCACUUCUGAACACAAAACAACCUAAUGCCACUUUAAACAAGUUUAUUGGAUAAUAGUUCCUGAACCUAUGAAAUUUGCUGAUUUCCAAAACUGAAAGAGAAGACAAAGAGUAUUCCACCCAACUUAGUGUACAUUAGAGUCUCUGUGAGCUUUUAUUUAUAAUCUUAUUGUAAUUUCUUUAUAAUUUGUAGAAAGACUUGAUUGCUGUUUUUGAAAAAGCAUUAUUCAGCAUUUAAUUUGGACAACAAGGUAUACCUCAAAGAGGAAAGAGGAAGGACCCUUAAAAAUCAUUGCGCAUAUAGACAAGGGUAAUUAUAACCUAAAACAUUUAUAGGAAGAGCUCUGAUUCAGGUAGCAUCAGAACAACUGUGUAAUAGCAGGGUCUACUUUCACAAGUUUUACUGGAAAGAUGCUUGAUAUUCAUCAUUAUCAUUAGAGUCCUAUAGCCUUUGUAUCAUCUCACAUCAUUUCUAAGUUAAAUUGGUCCAUGUAGACAAGAGAUAAAUUAGAUAAAGAGCCUACAUCAUUAUGCAAAGGAGGAAACAAAAUUCUGUAAAACUCUCAACAGAUAACUUAAAGGAUUCUGAUUUUAGAGUUCCCUGGUGGCUUAGCGGAUUAAGGAUAUGGCAUUGUCACUGCUGUGGCUCAGGUUUGAUCC